rnacentral:lncRNA from 1 species
GGUANCCUUCAAGGUAAGGCUGGAGUGAGCUCCUCUCAGACACUCUUGGGGACAGACUGCUGGGUUACUUGUGGGCUGGGGUGUGGCUUAAUGGUCUUAGUGCUUGCCUGGUAUGCACAAGGCCUUGGGGCAAAAAACCAGCAUGGCAAAAAACCCAAAAGAAACAAAAAAUUCCCCCAGGGUGUUUUAUUUGUUAGCGUUGUGGUGGGCACAGGCUCCAUAUUCCUUGUUGGAGAUUUCUGUCAUUUUCUUUGGUGCCUCCUGCCCUCUGCCCUUUUCCUCAUGCUCCCUUACCCAGGCCACCAGAGCAUUCAACAGAUUAUGGUAGAGCCAGAAGAUAUACUCUUGUUUUUUUUCCAUAAUGAUGCUAUAUUAUCUGACCAUUGGAUUAUGUUAUGAUUUGUUGAACCCCUUCCCUAUCGUUAGACAGUGAGGAAGUUUCUAGUAUUGAGUUAGGCUGCAGUAAUGUGCUGCUGUACGAGUUUUGUUCACCCUCCUGGCCUGGUGCUUCCUUCUGAUGGCUCCUGGGAGGAGUGUAGGGCUCCUGGCCUUUCCAAAGAGUGGCCUGUGUGCACGAACCCGCUCACCCAUGCUCACCAGCACCCACUGUUAAUGUUUUAAUGAUAUAUGAUGAUGCUUCUUUGUGCAUUACCUUGAAUACUAGUGAGGAUAAUCAGCACUCAGGUUUUUUUUUUUUUUAAAUGUAUUUUUUAGUUGUUGGACAUAGUACCUUUAUUUUAUUUUAAUGUGCUGCUGAGGAUUGAACCCAGUUCCUCACACAUGCUAGGUGAGUACUCUACCACUGAGCCCUAGCCCCAGCCCCAGCACUCAGGUUUUUAUAAUCUAGCUUUGGGGGCAAAAAAAAGAAAAAACAAGUAGGGCAAAUGUUCUGUUGACGCUGGGCGUGGUGGUGCAGGCUAUGAUCCCAGCUACUGGGGAAGCUGAGAAAGGCGGAGCACAAGUUCUAGGCCAGCCUAGGCAACUUGUUAAGACCUGGUCUCAAGAUGAAAUGAAAAGGGGGCUGGGGUACCCCUCCGUGGUAGGGCGCUUGCCUAGCACAUGCCAGGCCCUGUGUUCCAUCCCUAGCACCACAUGCACAUGUGUACAUGCAAG